rnacentral:misc_RNA from 1 species
GAAAGGCGGAGACGACCUGCGCACGGAGUUUGCGGCGGAGCAUGACGGUGAGCCGGACGGCGCGCACGAUCCUGCGGCCUUCCUUGGCGUGGGCUCCGGAUUCGAUCAGCGAUGCGAUCUCCUUCAGAUGCAGGAGAGUGGAGGAGCCGGCGGCGGAGGAGAGAGAGUUAGACGGCGCUGGGGCAGGCGCCGGCGGCGCCGCAGAGUCCUUCAUCUCGACGUCGGCCGUCAUCGGUGAGAUCUGAGGCGGCUUGGGGGAGGGGAGAACGACCG